CAAGUCGAGCGGUUCUGAGGGCUGAAACCUGAAGGUUAGGAAGCUGAUUUUGAAAUUGGGCGACACAGUGUGAGUUGUGUAGUUUUGGUUUUGUUUUCAGCUUUUAGCCUUUAGCUUUCAGCUUUCAGGAUAGCGGCGAACGGUCGCGUAACACGUAGGCAACCUGCCCCGAAGACUGGGAUAGCCCAGCGAAAGUUGGAUUAAUACCGGAUGUGAAUGACGGAAGAUAUCUUUUGUUAUUUAAACGAGCAAUCGGCUUUGGGAUGGGCCUGCGGUCUAUCAGCUAGUUGGUGAGGUAACAGCUCACCAAGGCGACGACGGAUAGCUGGUCUGAGAGGAUGGUCAGCCGGACUGGGACUGAGAUACGGCCCAGACUCCUACGGGGGGCAGCAAUUAGGAAUCUUGCGCAAUGGGGGCAACCCUGACGCAGCGACGCCGCGUGUGUGAUGAAGUCUUUCGGGAUGUAAAGCACUUUUGGCAGGGAAGAAGAAUGUGACGGUACCUGCAGAAUAAGCCCCGGCUAACUACGUGCCAGCAGCCGCGGUAAUACGUAGGGGGCAAGCGUUGUCCGAAGUUACUGGGCGUAAAGCGCGCGUAGGCGGUUCUUUAAGUUGAUUGUGAAAUCUUCACGGCUUAACCGGAAAACUGCGGUCAAGACUGGGGAACUGGAGAUUGGGAGAGGGAAGUGGAAUUCCUGGUGUAGCGGUGAAAUGCGUAGAUAUCAGGAGGAACACCCAUGGCGAAGGCAGCUUCCUGGCCCAAUUCUGACGCUGAGGUGCGAAAGCGUGGGUAGCGAACGGGAUUAGAUACCCCGGUAGUCCACGCCCGUAACGAUG
rnacentral:rRNA from 1 species